rnacentral:rRNA from 1 species
AUAUCAAUAAGCGGAGGAAAAGAAACCAACAGGGAUUGCCCUAGUAACGGCGAGUGAAGCGGCAACAGCUCAAAUUUGAAAUCUGGCCCUCGGGUCCGAGUUGUAAUUUGUAGAGGAUGUUUUUGGUGCGGUGCCUUCCGAGUUCCCUGGAACGGGACGCCAUAGAGGGUGAGAGCCCCGUCUGGUUGGACGCCAAUCCUAUGUAAAACUCCUUCGACGAGUCGAGUAGUUUGGGAAUGCUGCUCUAAAUGGGAGGUAUAUGUCUUCUAAAGCUAAAUAUUGGCCAGAGACCGAUAGCGCACAAGUAGAGUGAUCGAAAGAUGAAAAGCACUUUGAAAAGAGAGUUAAAAAGCACGUGAAAUUGUUGAAAGGGAAGCGCUUAUGACCAGACUUGGACUUGGUUGAUCAUCCGGCGUUCUCGCCGGUGCACUCUUCCGGUUCAGGCCAGCAUCAGUUUGCUUCGGGGGAUAAAGGCUUUGGGAAUGUGGCUCCCUCGGGAGUGUUAUAGCCCAUUGUGUAAUACCCUGGAGCGGACUGAGGUACGCGUUCUGCAAGGAUGCUGGCGUAAUGGUCAUCAGUGACCCGUCUUGAAACACGGACCAAGGAGUCGUCUUCGUAUGCGAGUGUUCGGGUGUUAAACCCCUACGCGUAAUGAAAGUGAACGCAGGUGAGAGCUUCGGCGCAUCAUCGACCGAUCCUGAUGUUCUCGGAUGGAUUUGAGUAAGAGCAUACGGGGCCGGACCCGAAAGAAGGUGAACUAUGCCUGUGUAGGGUGAAGCCAGAGGAAACUCUGGUGGAGGCUCGCAGCGGUUCUGACGUGCAAAUCGAUCGUCAAACAUGGGCAUGGGGGCGAAAGACUAAUCGAACCUUCUAGUAGCUGGUUUCCGC